AGCGAACGCUGGCGGCAGGCCUAACACAUGCAAGUCGAACGAACCUUUCGGGGUUAGUGGCGGACGGGUGAGUAACACGUGGGAACGUGCCUUUAGGUUCGGAAUAACUCAGGGAAACUUGUGCUAAUACCGAAUGUGCCCUUCGGGGGAAAGAUUUAUCGCCUUUAGAGCGGCCCGCGUCUGAUUAGCUAGUUGGUUGAGGUAAUGGCUCACCAAGGCGACGAUCAGUAGCUGGUCUGAGAGGAUGAUCAGCCACAUUGGGACUGAGACACGGCACAAACUCCUACGGGAGGAAGCAGUGGGGAAUCUUGCGCAAUGGGCGAAAGACUGACGCAGCCAUGCCGCGUGAAUGAUGAAGGUCUUAGGAUUGUAAAAUUCUUUCACCGGGGACGAUAAUGACGGUACCCGGAGAAGAAGCCCCGGCUAACUUCGUG
rnacentral:rRNA from 1 species